UGUGUAGCACCCUCUUUCAAGGGCUCUGAUCUAGGGUGACCAAGUGUCCCGCUUUGUGCGGAACUGCACAGCAUUUUCAUCCCUUUUUCCACGUCCCACCCAUUGAGAUGCUGUCCCGCAUUUUGAUUGGCAGCUAUAAUUUUCAAAAGUUUAAACUCUAAAGGACAGAUGCUAGGAGUUUUGUUUUUUAACUGGCUUUUUUCUAUGUUUGUCAAACAGCGCAGAUGUGCGAUCUCAACCAGAUGAACCUGUCUUGCUGCCGCACUUUGUUGUCAGUUGCCGUAAAUUGUGCCAGUCGCGACCGGUCGCGACACACCGCAAAGCAGACACAAACACUAAAUUAUGGAUUUUGGCGGAGAUAAUGGAAAGUACAGCAAAGAAGAGGAGGUGCAGCUUCAACAAAGACUGGGAAACUAUAUAUCACUGGGUGAAGCCGGUGCAAGGUGAUUCUCAGAGAGUUUUCUGUGAAGUUUGCCAGAGUUCGUUUUCCGUUUCACACGGUGGGGAAUACGACGUGAAGCGACACAGUACAUGCGAGACCCCCCCUCAGCUUUGGUAAGGUGUCCCACACUGUCCCACACAAAUAUGCUCUUUGUCCCACAAUUGGUUUAUUGAGAUCUGGUCACCCUACUCUGAUCUGAAUACACCAUUGUAAUUUCAAAAUAUAAUACAGAAUUACAAAUUAUUAGCAUAAUUUUUCAAUUUUAAAUACUUUCCAGGUCAAGUGUGCACAUACUGCCAUGACUUGAGGUGAUUUUUAACUGGUUCAGAGCCAUCACUCAUGAAUAUAUCACCUGUAGGUUUCUUCAGAGUUAGUCCAGGUGAGCUGAAGACACCUGUGUGGGUGUAACAGGACUAUAACACUCUUAACCUGACCUCAGGUUGCUGAAUUGAUAACUGCCAUCGACUUAUUUUGAAUGAAUUACAGAACAAUGUCACAAUCUGUGCAAAUGUGUCCAUUAAAUUACAUUUCAAAUAUUCUUAUUACUUUAUAACAGCUUGAUUAUAUUGCAUUGUACUUUAUUUGUAAAACCUAGUGACUAUAUAAUUUGCAACACUUGCUUUUUAUUCUGUAUCCUCCUCAAGAUUUUCUAAUUGGCAGUGUUUACUGAUAGACACUGAGUCAAAAUGUAUGUAAAAAUCUGAUUGGCAUUAAAACACAUUCAGAUUCUGAAAGCACACCAGUAUAGAUGUAAGAAAGUUAAAUAAUGUAAUGCGCUUAUUUAGCACCUUAUCAUACACAGAGGUUAUUCAAAGUGAUUUACAAGCACAUGUGGAAAAUGAAAUAAUAAUAAACGUGUUGUUAUAAUAAAAGAUUAAACUAAGUAAAACAAUGCAGACAAGAUAGAUAAAGCACACACAGAUUCAUAGAAUAAUUAAAACUGACUGAAUAAAGCAGGUAAAAAUAAAACCACGUACGACAUAAAAGUGCACAAUAAAAUAGCAACGAAAUUAAGUAAAAUGAAGUAUGUCGUCGAGGUUAAAUGUAAAUAGCAUGGUGCUCUUCGUGACCACAGGUUUGACAGUUUGCUCCUCGACUUGACAUUGAUGACAACAGCAGCUACUGGGUCCGUGUACGGAUCUGGUAAUUGGAUUUUCCGUUCUGAAACGGGUAUUGAAAAACAAAAAACGAGUGGUUAUUUGAUUUUCGUUUUAAACUACAAAAAUUAAAAUUGAAAUACAAGGCGUUUUUCCUUUUCAUGAUCAAAAAGGGAUAUACGAUUUUUUUUUAAAUGCUCUGAUUUUCGUUUUAUAUUUAGAAUAACAAGAAAGUAAAAUCAGUAAGAGACAAACGAAAAAAGGUCAGUUUUUUUCAUUUUCUGAGACCGGAAGUGGUCAUCAGCAAGCGUGGAGCCAAACAGAGUACUGUGAAUAGACUGUACAUACAUUUUUUCGUGAGUUUUCAUGGUCAAAACGAGAGAUCAGGUGGCCGAUCUUAAAAUAAAUCAAUAUUGAUUUUUUUUUUUUGUAGAGCGUUAAAGUUUUGCGAAGCCAGGGGGCGGGACUACUUGAUUGACAGCCCGGUCUGGAAUGAUUGACAGGUCCUAUGGAGGAGGCAGCAGAGACUCUGCUCUCCUCGUUUGGAUUAAUUCUGAUAUAAUAACUGUUGGUUUAUUUAUCAGUGAAGCAGCAGAACAUUUUCCACAGACAGUUUUCCUGCCCGUUGGCUUGUUUUAACCAGUUUUCUACCUUCGGCUGAUUCUACCAGCAGACACUGAUAGUUCGGUAAGUAAAUGUUUAUUUUCGUAUCGGUGCCGCUUUUAAUGCACUUUAUAUGCAGCUUUAGUGUCAGAUAUAAUGUGUGCCAUGCACUCCAGAUGUUGGUGGAGUUUGUUUCAGUGUGUGUUGACCAGAGAAGAGAGUUAGCAUAGUAAAUAUUAGCUUUAAUGUUAGCGAUGCUAACCGAGCUAGCUGCUCAGUCGUAGCCUGAUUAAAGCUAACGUAGCAUCAAGCUAAUGUGUUGAGUUUCAUGUAAACAGCUGAAAUGUGUUGUGUUCCUGUUAUGUGGUUCAUUAAGUUCAUAAAACUGUGGCUGGUUGACAUUAAUGUAACGUUCAGGAAACUUAAAUGUGAUUAAAACAGUAACGUUAAUGUUCUAGUUGUCAGUAACCAGCUUUAAUUUGACACUAAAACAGACUCUGAUAGUUUUAAAUGACAUCAGUUUCAUUAAUUUGUUGAAAAUUGUCUCAUUUGUUGUUGUGAUGUUGCUGCUGAUUCAUUAAAACCAGAUGAUCCAUGUUGAAGAUACAUUUAGUUCUAGUAUCAGAAGUACAAGAAGGAAAAUGGAAGUUUAGUUCUGCUACGUCAAAGAUUUAAGGAAUAAAAUAACUAAAUGAGUCUUUAUGCCUCAAACUUUAUUUUACAAUAAAGAAAUAAUGAAAUAAUCACAGAUAAUAAAAAUAUAAAUAGCAGAGAAAACCUGAGAAUAAGUUCCUGAAAACUCUGUGAAGGAAAAGCAGCUUUUUAUCCUGAAAGAUCAGAAUCAGCUCCAAAAUCUGCAUCUGACAGCAUCAAGAAAAGAAAAAAGAAAAUGACUUCUUUCUGAUCACAUCUGUUCCACUGCUCACAGUCUGCUGCUGACAUUCUUCACAUUUAUAGUCCACUUUUAAAAGUUCAGCAGACAGGUGCUCUGCUUUGGAGUGUGACGAUGUCGUCCGUGAUGUGGAGAGUGAAGUUUCUGUUUCACCCACAGCGUGCUUUAGGGCAGCCGGGUCGGACUUGAUGUUUGAAAUACUGACCGACAGCUCAGAUUUAACUGUCUGUAGUUCCGUUUUGAUGGGUGUUAAACUUUCACUCAAAGCCACCAGGAGCUGGGUCUUUAAAAUCACCGCUGUCUCGUUACAGAGUGAAACUAGCAGUUCCUCCUUAAAGUCAGAGAUUGCAGCAUCUGAGGGCCUCUUCAAAAGAAGACGUAGUUGAUGAAGGCGUUCUGGAGCAGGACCAGAAAGACCACAACCAAGCAGCCUUGAGAUCUUAGGCAGCGUCUCCCUCAGGUCCCUCUCUAUCUCCCCACACAUCCACCAACCACUGGAACACAUCUCCAAAGUUCUGCCGGGCCAGCUCAGCUUCCCCUCAGAAGAAGUUCCACCACCUGCCAGAUGAAGGAGCCUUUUGAGAGGCAGCUGGCAUCGUGAUUGGACUGUACUUUGGUCUGUUCCAAUCCAGCUUCAGCUCCAGAGACGGCAGGCGGGACGAGUCAACGGAGGCCGGAUGGACGAAGGCAUGCAGCUGAGUACAAUCCAGAAAACAACAGAGGAGGAGUGCAGGGCCAGAACACACAGAGUAGCAUCGUAUGUCUCUUAGAAAACAUCAUAGUAUAGCCUUUGGGAUGAAAAAACACCAUCAUAUACAUCAUAUAUUGUACAUAUAACAAGUCAAAGGAAAGAGACAUACAUUGUAGAAUUGUAGUAAUUGUGGGCUGACUGAUUUACUGAUUAUCAGUAUUUUAUUUUUUUACUGAUUUACAGUAAUAAAUAAAUUUUAAAAUGGCGCUA